CCCUUAGAUGUUCUGGGCCGCACGCGCGCUACACUGAUGCAUUCAACGAGUUUCUUCCUGGUCCGAGAGGAAUGGGUAACCUUUUGAAAGUGCAUCGUGAUAGGGAUAGACUAUUGCAAUUAUUGGUCUUCAACGAGGAAUUCCUAGUAGACGUAGUUCAUCAGACUGCAUCGAUUACGUCCCUGCCCUUUGUACACACCGCCCGUCGCUCCUACCGAUUGAAUGCUCAGGUGAGCCAUUCGGCCUUUCAUCAUGCUGGUUUCCAGUUUUGAUGAAGGAAAGUCUUGCGAACCUUAUCAUUUAGAGGAAGGAGAAGUCGUAACA
rnacentral:rRNA from 1 species